UGAGGAAUUUUGCGCAAUGGCCUCAAGGCUGACGCAGCAACGCCGCGUGGGUGAAGAAGGCCUUCGGGUCGUAAAGCCCUGUCAGGUGGGAAGAAUGAUUCGGGGAGUAAUACGCCCUGGAUGUGACGGUACCACCAGAGGAAGCACCGGCUAACUCCGUGCCAGCAGCCGCGGUAAUACGGAGGUUGCAAGCGUUGUUCGGAAUUACUGGGCGUAAAGGGAGCGCAGGCGGCCGAAUCAGUCUGAAGUGAAAUCCCGGAGCUUAACUCCGGACGUGCUUUGGAUACUGUUUGGCUUGAGUUCGCGAGAGGUAAGCGGAAUUCCAGGUGUAGCGGUGAAAUGCGUAGAUAUCUGGAGGAACAUCGGUGGCGAAAGCGGCUUACUGGCGCGAUACUGACGCUGAGGCUCGAAAGCGUGGGGAGCGAACG
rnacentral:rRNA from 1 species